GGAAGAUUAGUUAACGACUUAUAACACUAGUUUGUCAUACUAGAAUCACUAAGAUAUUAGUAUUUUCCU
rnacentral:tRNA from 1 species